GAUGAACGCUGGCGGCGUGCCUAAUACAUGCAAGUCGAGCGAACGGACGAGAAGCUUGCUUUUCUGAUGUUAGCGGCGGACGGGUGAGUAGCACGUGGAUAACCUACCUAUAAGACUGGGAUAACUUCGGGAAACCGGAGCUAAUACCGGAUAAUAUUUUGAACCGCAUGGUUCAAAAGUGAAAGACGGUCUUGCUGUCACUUAUAGAUGGAUCCGCGCUGCAUUAGCUAGUUGGUAAGGUAACGGCUUACCAAGGCAACGAUGCAUAGCCGACCUGAGAGGGUGAUCGGCCAAACUGGAACGGAGACACGGUCCAGACUCCUACGGGAGGCAGCAGUAGGGAAUCUUCCGGAAUGGGCGAAAGCCUGACGGAGCAACGCCGCGUGAGUGAUGAAGGUCUUCGGAUCGUAAAACUCUGUUAUUAGGGAAGAACAUAUGUGUAAGUAACUGUGCACAUCUUGACGGUACCUAAUCAGAAAGCCACGGCUAACUACGUG
rnacentral:rRNA from 1 species